rnacentral:lncRNA from 1 species
UCUUCAUGUUCUUUAUUAAACCAAUAUAGCAUUAAUGCGUUUGUAACAUUUUAUCAAUUGUUUUGAUUUUGGACAUAAAAUCUACUACAUAAAAUGAAUUUGAAAAACAAUGAGCAAUGCAUAUCUUCUCUUAUAUAUAUCUAUAUACAUGUAUAUAUAUUAAUAAGGAUGUCUGAUCAUACAAAUAAAAACCAUUUAUUUUCAUGUUUUUUUUAAGAACCAACAAAGCUGAAUGACUAUCUGUGUGUGUUAAAUUAAAAACAAUGAAAGAAGUAGAUUCAGUAAGACCCCUUUUUGGCCCCAAAAUAUAGCAGUUUUACAAAAUUGUUAAAAUGUUAACUUUUAGUUAUUUAUUGGAAAGAAGAUUGCUUCUGCUGCAUAAAUAUGGGCUUUUUUUUUUACAAUACAAUACAUAUAUAUCGGGUAAUAGCAUCAUUAAGUCAUGCUAAAUUACUGAAAUCUUCACAAUUUAAGCAUUUUAGUCAAAUUUUAGACAGUUUCCAUCUCAAAUGAAAGAUGCAUCUGUGUUCAUUCUUAAUAUUGAAAUGUAAGUUGUAUUUGGUGAGAAUACAUAACAUAUAUAAAGGUUGAGGAUGAACACGUAUGCGGUCACUUUCAUUUUUGACAAAAACCAUCUGAAAAGUGACAUUUUUGGCAUAUUUAAUAGAUUUUUUUAUAUCUAAAAAUAAAAUUGAGAAUGGAAAUGGGGAAUGUGUCAAAGAGACAAAAACCCGACAAUAGAACAGACAACAGCAGAAGGUCACCAAUAGGUCUUCAAUACAGCGAGAAAUUCCCGCACCCAGAGGUGUCCUUCAGCUGGCCCCUAAACAAAUAUAUAUACUAGUUCAGUGAUAAUGAACGCCAUACUAAACUCCAAAUUUUUCGGACUAACCUAUUUUUUAAAAUAAAUAUACCUGAAACUGUCAACAUGACUCCCUGUUUUUUUUCUUCAAGUAACUAGAUAAGAAAUUAAAAAUCUGGUAUGUUCCUCUGAUUGACUUUGUAUAUCAAUGUUAUAUAUAGUUUAUUUAUAAUAAUAUAUCAUACCAGUGAAACAUAUGCAUCAUAAAACCUAUUUAUGGCACUGGCUUUUGUUCCAGUAAUGAAGGAAUGUAAAAAAUGCUCUGCUUAUUAUUUUUGAAUAAUGUUUUCGUCAUAUUUCAAGCUAUUGAAACUUAAUAUUUUGCAUAAAUCAUUGAUUUUAUUACAUUUAAUAUUUUAUAUGAGACACAGAACUUGUAUAAAAUUUUGACUGCUUACAGCCUUUUCUGCUCAUAGGUACUCAUAUCUUUAAUAAAGGAUAAUAAGAAAAACCUUUUAACUAAUAUAAUGUGAAAGGUAAUGACUCACUUUUUUUCUAUUUUAUGCAAUUGGUUAUGGUUAUAAAAAUACUUCAUGGUGAGGUUUUUUAGUUCUAAUCUAACCUAUUUGCCAUCUGGUUAAAAAACCCAGUCUACUUAAAAGAGGGAAUUUAUAUGUGCAUGCUAUAAAUAUAUAUUGAGCUAGCAAUUAUUUAUGUGACUUAUCAUUUUUGUAGUUCAUAUGUUUAACUUUAAGUUCAUGAAGUUUUUGAAAUAACAACCAAAACUAAAAAAAAACUCAUUAAAAGAUAACAUUUCAAGUUAUAAAAACAGGUUGUCAAAUUUUCAGAGUAUAUAGUGAUCAUGUCAUGCUGAUAAUUUUUGCAAUUUACAAUUGGUACCUAGGUUCUACAAUUUUCACAAAAACAGCCCAUAUUUUAAACUGCAAAAAUUGGAAAAAUUGGGAAAAAACAUACAAAAUGUCAAAACAGGUUGAUAUAAGCCUGAAAUUUUAAUUCACCUGUGCACAAUUCAGCAAUAAACAAUUAAAUCUGAUUUUUUUGGAAAAUUAUGCCAUUGCCAUGAACACUUUUUUGAAAUGUGUACUUUAGUUGUAGUCAUUUCUUAAUAACAAAAUGCAGUAUGUUAUAAUCUCUUUUGCCUUAAAUAUGUAACUUUUCAUAUUUUUGGUAUGUGUUUUGCAGUACAACUGCACACUUACUCAGAAAAUAUACAAAGAUUAUAAUUUUUAACCUGAAUUUUAUAAUGCUUUCAUAAAUUAAUAAUAUUAACACAAGUAUUAAAAACAAAACAAUGGAAGACAUAAAUUCUAUAUUAUUUCUGAGACAAACAAGUCAUAAUAACAUCUAUCACAAAAGUUUUAC